rnacentral:rRNA from 1 species
GAUGAACGCUGGCGGCGUGCUUAACACAUGCUAGUCGAACGAAGCACUUAUGACAGAUUCUUCGGAUGAUGGAUUAAGUGACUGAGUGGCGGACGGGUGAGUAACGCGUGGGUAACCUGCCUCAUACAGGGGGAUAACAGUUAGAAAUGACUGCUAAUACCGCAUAAGCGCACAGGACCGCAUGGUCUGGUGUGAAAAACUCCGGUGGUAUGAGAUGGACCCGCGUCUGAGUAGCUAGUUGGUGGGGUAACGGCCUACCAAGGCGACGAUCAAUAGACGGCCUGAGGGGGUGAACGGCCACAUUGGGACUGAGACACGGCCCAAACUCCUACGGGACGCAGCAGUGGGGAAUAUUGCACAGUGGGGGAAACACUGAUGCAGCGACGCCGCGUGAGUGAAGAAGUAUUUCGGUAUGUAAAGCUCUAUCAGCAGGGAAGAAAAUGACGGUACCUGACUAAGAAGCACCGGCUAAAUACGUGCCAGCCGCCGCAGUAACAC